rnacentral:rRNA from 1 species
CUACACAUGCAGUCGAGCGGUAGAGAGAGCUUGCUUCUCUUGAGAGCGGCGGACGGGUGAGUAAUGCCUAGGAAUCUGCCUGGUAGUGGGGGAUAACGUUCGGAAACGGACGCUAAUACCGCAUACGUCCUACGGGAGAAAGCAGGGGACCUUCGGGCCUUGCGCUAUCAGAUGAGCCUAGGUCGGAUUAGCUAGUUGGUGAGGUAAUGGCUCACCAAGGCGACGAUCCGUAACUGGUCUGAGAGGAUGAUCAGUCACACUGGAACUGAGACACGGUCCAGACUCCUACGGGAGGCAGCAGUGGGGAAUAUUGGACAAUGGGCGAAAGCCUGAUCCAGCCAUGCCGCGUGUGUGAAGAAGGUCUUCGGAUUGUAAAGCACUUUAAGUUGGGAGGAAGGGUUGUAGAUUAAUACUCUGCAAUUUUGACGUUACCGACAGAAUAAGCACCGGCUAACUCUGUGCCAGCAGCCGCGGUAUACAGAGGUGCAAGCGUAAUCGGAUACUGGCGUAAGCGCGCGUAGUGGUUGUAGUGAUGUGAA